AUGCACGCUGGCGGCGUGCUUAACACAUGCAAGUCGAACGGGAUCCAAGGGGUGCUUGCACUUUUUGGUGAGAGUGGCGAACGGGUGAGUAACACGUGAGUAACCUGUCCUUUUCUUUGGGAUAAGCAUUCGAAAGGGUGUUUAAUACCUUAUGUUCUGUCUGCCUCGCAUGGGGUGGGUGGGAAAGGCUUUGGCCGGAUUUGGGUGGGCUCGCGGUCUAUCAGCUUGUUGGUGGGGUGAUGGCUUACCAAGGCUUUGACGGGUAGCCGGCCUGAGAGGGUGGUCGGUCACAUUGGGACUGAGAUACGGCCCAGACUCCUGCGGGAGGCAGCAGUGGGGGAUAUUGCACAAUGGGCGAAAGCCUGAUGCAGCGACGCCGCGUGGGGGAUGAAGGCCUUCGGGUUGUAAACUUCUUUUGCUCUGAACAAGGCAUGCCAGUGGGUGUGUUGAGUGUAGGGGUUGAUUAGCGCCGGCUAACUACGUG
rnacentral:rRNA from 1 species